UACGGAGGGUCCGAGCGUUGUCCGGAAUUAUUGGGUUUAAAGGGUACGUAGGCGGAUUGAUCAGUCAGAGCUGAAAUCCUAUGGCUUAACCAUAGAACUGGCUUUGAUACUGUCAAUCUUGAGUACGGUAGAGGUAGGCGGAAUUUAUGAUGUAGCGGUGAAAUGCAUAGAUAUCAUAAAGAACACCGAUAGCGAAGGCAGCUUGCUGGACCGUAACUGACGCUAAUGUACGAAAGUGCGGGUAUCGAACAGG
rnacentral:rRNA from 1 species